GCUCCCGUGGUGUAGUCCGGCCAAUCAUUCCGGCCUUUCGAGCCGAAGACCCGGGUUCAAAUCCCGGCGGGAGCA
rnacentral:tRNA from 2 species